rnacentral:rRNA from 1 species
UACAGAGGUCCCAAGCGUUGUUCGGAUUCACUGGGCGUAAAAGGGGUGCGUAGGUGGUCGGGUAAGUCUGAUGUGAAAUCUCCGAGCUUAACUCGGAAAUGGCAUUGGAUACUAUUCGGCUGGAGGUUGGAGGGGGACUGGAAUUCUCGGUGUAGCAGUGAAAUGCGUAGAUAUCGAGAGGAACACCAGUGGCGAAGGCGAGUCCCUGGACAACACCUGACCACUGAGGCACGAAAGCUAGGGGAGCAAACAGG